GUUUGGGUUCCUCCUCCAACGCUUUUUCUUUUCCUCCGAGGCGGGAGACCACUCAUGGAAAAGCUGAAGCGGUUGAAUAUGGAGGACUUUGUUAAACUAAAGUUAACAGAACGGCAACUUCUGGAGCUGAUUGACACUUUUGCAGAUUGCGCAGGACUUCGAGGUCCUUCAUAAAGAGGCAUCAGACUAAAUGUUUGACCUGGAGGAGGUUCAGCGUGAAGCUUCUUCAUGCGGCCCAGCGGGGGGGGGAGCUCCAGGUGCAGACAGAGUCUUUGUCUCAAGGCUCCAAAGACUACAUUGCCCUGAUGGUUCUGCCAGGUCUGAUUCCACCUGCAGUCUUCAGGAUGGGCCGAAAGACCGUGAGGACUACAGUGUCUGACGCCAUGAAGGCCUUCAUCGAUCUUAAGCCUGUCGGAUGGUGGAUACCUUCAGGCAGCAGACCAGACCAUACCCCUGCACCCUGGUGUUGGGAGGCGAGGACUGCUGCUCACAGCCAUUCACCGUUCUCAGUGGGCCGGCCCUGGAGCACUACAGCGACGUCCAAGCUGUACAUGUUUGUUUCAAAUGUUUACAUGUGUUUGAUACAGAGGUGUCAAGUAACGAAGUAUUUGUAC